CUGGGAAGCUCUUAUGCGGAGUUAGCAACCCACCCCCAAAUGUCAACCCAAAGGGAUGGCUUCCACUGUGAGGUCAGCUUCCGGGCCCCAGACACUGUGUGGUUUAUUUGCUUUCUCCUGUUGGGAACUGUGCUGCCAGCAGUGAACACUGCCCAUCGGGAACAAAACCCAGAUUCAGUUACCUAGUCACUGCGUUUACAGAGUGGAACAUCAAUGCUUGUGGAGGCAGACAUGGAAGUGUACAUGUGGAAGACAGCAGACAGCCUUGGGUGCCUGACUUCACCUGCAGGUCACCUGCAAUGGGAUCCCUGCUGGUUUUCUGGCUUAUGUUGGAUCAACGUGACAUUAUCGUUGCUAAGAAAAGCAGCUUCCUCCCAGGGCAAGGACAGAUGCCACCUGGAUACGUACACUAAUGCUCUCCUCUAUGAUAUUUGCCUGACCUGAACCACAGCCUCCAAAUGCCAAUUUUUCUCACACUUUAAGACACUGAAGCUAUAUCUUGAAGAUCCUCCUACCGAUGAGCAAUGGACCAGAAAGGCAUGCCAGCUUCACAACUGCCUGCGGAAAUUCAGGCAUACUUUAGAGCGAAGCA